rnacentral:rRNA from 1 species
GGGGGGGGGGGGGGGGGGGGGGGGGGGGGGCGGGGGGGGGGGGGGGGCGGGGGGGGGGGGGGCGGGGGGGGGGCGGGGGGGGGGCGGGUGGGGAGUGCGUCGGAAUCUACUUUUGCGUGGGGGGGAGCGUGGGGCACCUGACGCUCAUACCGCAUACGACCUACGGGUGGAAGCAGGGGAUCUUCUGCCCUUGCGCGAAUGCAUGAGCCGAUGUCGGAUUAGCUAGUUGGCGGGGUAAAGGCCCCCCAAGGCGACGAUCCGUCGCUGGUCUGAGAGGAUGAUCAGCCACACGGGAACUGAGACACGGUCCAGACUCCGACGGGAGGCAGCAGUGGGGAAUAUUGGACAAUGGGCGCAAGCCUGAUCCAGCCAUACCGCGUGGGUGAAGAAGGCCUUCGGGUUGUAAAGCCCUUUUGUUGGGAAAGAAAAGCAGCAGGUUAAUACCCCGCUGUUCUGACGGUACCCAAAGAAUAAGCACCGGCUAACUUCGUG